CAAGUCGAGGGGCAGCAUGCUUGUAGCAAUACAGGUGAUGGCGACCGGCAAACGGGUGCGGAACACGUACAGAACCUUCCUUCGAGCGGGGAAUAGCCCAGAGAAAUUUGGAUUAAUACCCCAUAGUAUAACGGAGUGGCAUCACUUUGUUAUUAAAGAUUUAUCACUUGAAGAUGGCUGUGCGGCUGAUUAGGUAGUUGGCGGGGUAAUGGCCCACCAAGCCUGCGAUCAGUAACUGGUGUGAGAGCACGACCAGUCACACGGGCACUGAGACACGGGCCCGACUCCUACGGGAGGCAGCAGUAAGGAAUAUUGGUCAAUGGACGAAAGUCUGAACCAGCCAUGCCGCGUGGAGGAUGAAGGUCCUCUGGAUUGUAAACUUCUUUUAUAUGGGACGAAAAAAGGCUUUUCUAAGUCGUCUGACGGUACCAUAUGAAUAAGCACCGGCUAACUCCGUGCCAACAGCCGCGGUAAUACGGAGGGUGCAAGCGUUAUCCGGAUUCACUGGGUUUAAAGGGUGCGUAGGUGGGUCUGUAAGUCCGUGGUGAAAUCUCCGAGCUUAACUUGGAAACUGCCAUGGAUACUAUAGGUCUUGAAUACUGUGGAGGUCAGCGGAAUAUGUCAUGUAGCGGUGAAUGCUUAGAUAUGACAUAGAACACCAAUUGCGAAGGCAGCUGGCUACACAAAUAUUGACACUGAGGCACGAAAGCGUGGGGAUCAAACAGGAUUAGAUACCCUGGUAGUCCACCCCCUAAACUAUGGAUACUCGACAUACGCGAUACACUGUGUGUGUCUGAGCGAAAGCAUUAGUUUCCCACCUGGGAAGUACGAUCGCAAGAUUGAACUCAAAGGAUUGGCGGGGGUCCGCACAAGCGGUGGA
rnacentral:rRNA from 1 species